rnacentral:rRNA from 1 species
GACUAACGCUGGCGGGAUGCCUCAUACAUGCAAGUCGAACGCACCUUCGGGUGAGUGGCGCACGGGUGAGUAACACGUAGGUAAUCUGCAUUAUGCUGGGGGAUAACAGCUGGAAACGGCUGCUAAUACCGCAUAAGACAUUGGUUGAAAUACUAAUGUUUAAAGAAUUUCGGCAUAAGAUGAGCCUGCGGCGGAUUAGCUAGUUGGUAAGGUAAUGGCUUACCAAGGCUCCGAUCCGUAGCUGGUCUGAGAGGAUGACCAGCCACAGUGGAACUGAGACACGGUCCACACUCCUACGGGAGGCAGCAGUAGGGAAUUUUGCGCAAUGGGCUAACGCCUGACGCAGCAAUCCCGCGUGGAGGAUGAAGUAUCUUGGUAUGUAAACUCCUUUCGGUAGUGACGAUUAUGACGGUAACUACAGAAGAAGCAUCGGCUAACUACGUGCCAGCAGCCGCGGUAAGGCACGACUGU